UACAGAGGUCUCAAGCGUUGUUCGGAUUCAUUGGGCGUAAAGGGUGCGUAGGUGGCGUGGUAAGUCGGGUGUGAAAUUUCGGAGCUUAACUCCGAAACUGCAUUCGAUACUGCCAUGCUUGAGGACUGGAGAGGAGACUGGAAUUUACGGUGUAGCAGUGAAAUGCGUAGAUAUCGUAAGGAAGACCAGUGGCGACGGCGGGUCUCUGGACAGUUCCUGACACUGAGGCACGACAGCGUGGGGAGCAAACAGG
rnacentral:rRNA from 1 species